CGCCGUUUCCCAGAAGCCAUCGCGCGGUUUGGUAGCGAUUAAAAAAAGGGCGGGAGUCCUGCGAGCGGCUUCAGUCAGUCGGGCACCGGCGCUGUGGGCUUUCUGCUUCUCUUUGCCCGCCGUUCCUCUCCUAUUGCUCCGCAGGCAGCGACACUGCCUGGACGGUGGCGCACUCUGACUGUAGCUCGUGUCCUCAGGAAGGCGAAGGGACAGGCUGUGGGGGGCCAAGGUCCCGAGGCCUUGGGGGCGAGGUGGCAAUGUGGUCGCUGCAGGUCUAUACCCGCAAGAAGCGGGCCGGCCAGAGGCUCAACCUAACCCCAACACCGGACCAAGGCCCCACCGCGAAGGCAGAGCCUCCCCCGGUUCCAGGCAGAAGGCACUCCGCGCGCCGCCUGAAGGGGAAAAUGCACCGUUUGCAGAAGAUCUCGGAGAAGGCCGAGUGCAGUGGGCGGGGAGGUGGCGGCCCUAGGCCGCGGAGCACUCCGUUAAGAGUUACAGGACAGAAAAGCCUGCAAGAAAAUAUCACUAAUGAAGAGCCCGCGGAUGAGAAGACUGCACCAUUGAGUGAGUCAGUGCCUGAUGACCUCCAGGUUGACAGUAGUUCAUCCAAUAGUGAGCUAAUAUCAGGACUAACUUCGCAGCAUAUUUCUAGUUCUUUUCCAAACUAUUCAUUGACAGACUCUUACACAGAAUACAAGAGUUUUGAAGAGAGUUUAAGUAGUUUUCCAUCACCUGAACUCUUCAGAGGAUCAGAUUAUUUAGAUUGGGAAUGUCCCAAGUUGGAAGAACACAUGCGAUGCAAGAAUUCCACUCUUCUGGAUACCAGUAAAGCAGUAGCAAUAGAGAAGGUACCACAGUUUUCAAACCUCUCUGCAAUUUUAGGUACCUCUUCAGGAGACUCUCAAAAAUGCCAUAGAGAAAUAGCGAUGACAUUAGCAGACCAAAAUAUAUCUCCAAAACCAAAGAAUACUUCACAUUCAGAAUCAGAUAAUGCAGCUUGUGAAGUUUUACUUGCUGAGAAAACUUAUCCUUCAGCCCCUGAAAAAACAAAGAAAAAACCUGAAAAAGGUCCUGAACCUAGAGAUACAAAUUUUCAAACAAAGUUAAGUUUUCAUCAUCUAAAAAUCAAGAUUCCUUCAUCUCACCAGAGGUCUGUUAUUGAAACCAACGCAGGUAGAUCAAUUACCAAAGUUCCAUUUUCUCAACCCCUGGAACCUGCAUUGAGAACAAAUUCUAGUACUCCUGGUAAGAAAAGCAGAGGCCUCUUAACAAGUACUCCAUCUUCGAAAACUGCUGGUUUGGUGAAUUCUUCUUAGGUUCAAGUAAACAAAAGGAAUACAACUCACAAGCAGGGCAGAAACAGGUGUUCCUCUUCAGUGGGAUUAGUCUUCACAGAAGUCCAUGGAGCAGUUUAUUUAGCAGCUCAGAUAUAAGAAGAUGAGGUCCAGUAUCCUUUGUAAUAGCACACAGACAUAGUUUCCAGGGUCCCCACAAGAGACUCUCCAAAUUAUAAGUCAGGGAAAUCCAAACUAUGGUGCUUUUUGUAGAGUUUAUUUACAUAUAGCGUGUUUAUCAUUGAUUCAUAGUGCAUUUAUAGUUCUUCCUAGUCUACCUAGAGUUUAUCAUUCAGACAUCAUUUUUACCACUAGCAAUGUUGGCAUUGUUAACUUUAUCAGGUUCCUAGUGAAAAAGAGCAUGAGAAUUAACCAAAGAUCAGUUUUUCAAGCUGGGAAAAAGGGUUCUUUACAAGUUUCCUUAUUCUGGCUAUUUCAUAUAAAUGGAAUUGUAUAAUACAUGGCCUUUGUGUCUGGCUUCUUUCACUUAACAAUGUUUUCAAAGUUCAUCCAUUUUAUAAUAUGUACUUUCUCGCUUAUUUAUGGCUGAAUAAUAUCCCAUGAUUGAUUUGUCCUCAGUGCAGAAAGCAUCUUUUGAAGAACUACUUCCAAAUGUCAGCAAUUAUGUUAAUUCAAAUGAAAUUGUUCCUGUUUCAAAUUUGCAAGAAAACUCUUCAAAUGAGUUUCCUUCAAAUACAUC